rnacentral:lncRNA from 1 species
AGACCUUCACCCGUUAAAAACACAUAGAAGCGUCGGAUCUCAGGGAACAAAAACAUUUUCUUUUCAAAAGGAAACUGACACGAACAUAGAGAGAUUGAACGGACAGAUUUAGGAAAACUUCGGUUUUGGCUUUUGAAUCUGUCACCUUCUAGCUGUUGGUUUUAGUUCUUUGGUAUAUAAAAGGGGCAAUUUCUCUUAGAUUAUUCCUUUAGCUUCAACGAAAUUGGCAGUUCUUUUUGUUGGAUUUUUGGGUGUUAAAGCUGGAAUUUGCUUGGUUUUGUACGAGAUUUCCAACGCAUUCGUUGUGUGUCAUCCUGUUGCUGAAUCGAGUUUUUGGUGGUUGGACUCAGACUAUCUUUUUGUUCCCUUUCUUUGCGGUUGUCCUGCUUUUAGCUGUUGAAGUUGUCGAAUCUGCUGGGUUAUCUGAAUCAGAGCUGUGGACUUGUGCUCUAAUUGUUAUCGCUGGUUUGGGGUUGUUUCUAUUGCUGGAUUCAUCUUCUACUUCUGGCAAUUAGCUUUGUUUCCUUUAGAUCCAGGUAUUAAUUUCAGUCUCAGGUUAUGUAUUGCCAUACGGAUGUUCUAGCAUUAUAAAAUUCGCAGCAGUUAGUUCAUCUAUAUGUUUGCUGAAUCUUCAUUCAUGGUUUACCUUUGCUUCCUUUAGAUCCAGCUUCGAAGUAUUCAAAUUUGUGGCAAAACUAAUUACGCGAAGAUGAGCACGAGACUCUAACCAAUUGAGUAGAAGCUUUGGAAUUGAGCAUAAUGAUUGUUAAUUAAUUGAGUAGAAACUUUGGAAUUGAGCAUAAUGAUUGUUAAUUAUUCUCUGAACUUCCUUCAAGAUUAAAUUCUGGAUUAAAGGUAAGUAUUUUACUUUUUUUUUCUUUCAAAUUCUUGAUAUUCUAUAAUUUGAUUUUAAAUACAAGCAAGGACGAUAAAUUUUAAUUGCAACUCUAAUGGAGUUUGUAAGAAAUUAUAACCAUCCGAAGUGGUAAAAUUUCUAUACUUGUCAAGAUUAAAUUCAUGUAUGAUUGUGGGCAAAGAAUUGAAAGCCCGUCCAAUUGAAUUUGCUCCAUUCUCAUUCCCGAUAGAGAAUGUGAUAUCAGUAUGUGAGAAGUCUGAAAGAAGACAAAAUUAUUACCGUGAAGGUAUGAAUGAAUGUGGACGUGGCAAUAGACGAAAUUAUAAUCGUCAUUAUUUAUUUAAUGAGAACAAUAAGGGUUCUCAAAAUAAUCCUUCACUCUGU